rnacentral:rRNA from 1 species
GAUGAACGCUAGCUACAGGCUUAACACAUGUAAGUCGAGGGGCAGCAUGAUCAAAGCUUGCUUUGAUUGAUGGCGACCGGCGCACGGGUGAGUAACGCGUAUCCAACCUUCCCCAUAGUAGAGAAUAGCCCGGCGAAAGUCGGAUUAAUGCUCUAUGUUGUAUUCCGAUGCCAUCAGAAGAAUACCAAAGGUUCACCGCUAUGGGAUGGGGAUGCGUCUGAUUAGGUUGUUGGCGGGGUAACGGCCCACCAAGCCUGCGAUCAGUAGGGGUUCUGAGAGGAAGGUCCCCCACAUUGGUACUGAGACACGGACCAAACUCC